UUCCGUAGGUGAACCUGCGGAAGGAUCAUUAAUUAUGUUAAAGCGCCUUACCUUAGGGUUUCCUCUGGGGUAAGUGAUUGCUUCUACACUGUGAAAAUUUGGCUGAGAGACUCAGACUGGUCAUGGGUAGACCUAUCUGGGGUUUGAUCGAUGCCACUCCUGGUUUCAGGAGUACCCUUCAUAAUAAACCUAGAAAUUCAGUAUUAUAAAGUUUAAUAAAAAACAACUUUUAACAAUGGAUCUCUUGGUUCUCGCAUCGAUGAAGAACGUAGCAAAGUGCGAUAACUAGUGUGAAUUGCAUAUUCAGUGAAUCAUCGAGUCUUUGAACGCAGCUUGCACUCUAUGGUUUUUCUAUAGAGUACGCCUGCUUCAAUAUCAUCACAAACCCACACAUAACAUUUGUUUAUGUGGUGAUGGGUCGCAUCGCUGUUUUAUUACAGUGAGCACCUAAAAUGUGUGUGAUUUUCUGUCUGGCUUGCUAGGCAGGAAUAUUACGCUGGUCUCAGGAUCUUUUUUUUUGGUUCGCCCAGGAAGUAAAGUACAAGAGUAUAAUCCAGUAACUUUCAAACUAUGAUCUGAAGUCAGGUGGGAUUACCCGCUGAACUUAAGCAUAUCAAUAAGCGGAGGAA
rnacentral:rRNA from 1 species